UACGUAGGGUGCAAGCGUUGUCCGGAAUUAUUGGGCGUAAAGAGCUUGUAGGCGGUUUGUCGCGUCUGCUGUGGAAAAUUUCGGGGCUCAACCCCGAACUUGCAGUGGGUACGGGCAGACUAGAGUGUGGUAGGGGAGACUGGAAUUCCUGGUGUAGCGGUGAAAUGCGCAGAUAUCAGGAGGAACACCGAUGGCGAAGGCAGGUCUCUGGGCACUACUGACGCUGAGAAGCGAAAGCAUGGGGAGCGAACAGG
rnacentral:rRNA from 1 species